CCGCAUUGUAAGGUUACAAUGUUUCACAAAAUAUCUUACAGUGAGGAAAAGGCGGCGACUCUCUGCUCUGUAUACCAGGGCGAAGCUUGUUAGAGAUUUAAUGAAUGAGGCAGCGUUGAUGGUAGAGCAGAUUCCAUCCAGACCCGGACAGCAACAGCGCAGACAGAGAGUUUCUCUAUCCUUACAUGACCAUCGUAGCCUUAACGCUUUUUGGCUGCAUGCCCGACACUGUUACUGAAACACUGUGCUGUCAAGGUAUCCCCUUGCUGCCACACAUCUGUCUACUAUGAAUGGGGCUUCUGCAGCACUGCAAUCAUUUGUAUGCUGAAACAGAGACACCUACAUGGAGGGCAGGGGUACUUGAAGCCCUGAAUAUAGAUACACUGAUUUAUACCUGAAUAAAGGA